AGUGGAACUUUGAGGCCUGC
rnacentral:miRNA from 1 species